rnacentral:lncRNA from 1 species
CUUUACAGAGGGUGUACAUAAAUGUAAGCUAGCAGAGAAAAAUAAAAGUUAUGUCAAGAAAUUGAUGCGGAGAGGUUGUUUGUAUCACGCCCCGAAUACAGCAGCGUGCCACGGCCAAAAGUGCAGAAGCAGAAGAGCAUAAGCUGAAGCAAACUGUCGAAACAGAAACAGCAACUGCAGGCAUGGAGUGUCAAAACUAGUUGCUAGAAGGACGGUAACAGUAUGAAUAAGGAUAUUCCUUCCCCGGACGUGGCACUCCCAUCCCAUCCCAUAUCCAAUCCCAUGGUGGAUAAGCACAAACGCCCGGUACUCAAAUGUCAAAUC